rnacentral:lncRNA from 1 species
UCUUCCAGCAGGUCGAGGUUGGCUUUAAGACUUUGCAAAUUUUGAUGUUCGUCGAAUGCCACGACUCGUGCCGACGGGAGUUUAAGCUCAAUUGGGAUGAUGGCCUCCGUACCGAAGGCUAAAGCAAAGGGGGUCUCCCCUGUGGGCAGCCUCUGGGUAGUUCGAUACACCCACAACACAUGAUAAAGUUCGUCUGUCCAAGUUUCCUUCGCCUUUUCGAGCCUUGUCUUAAUCCCCUGCAGAAGGAUUCUGUUAGUUACCUCAGCUUCGCCGU